GGUGAACGCUGGCGGCGUGCCUAAUACAUGCAAGUCGAGCGAACGGACGAGAGGCUUGCUUUUCUGAUGUUAGCGGCGGACGGGUGAGUAACACGUGGAUAACCUACCUAUAAGACUGGGAUAACUUCGGGAAACCGGAGCUAAUACCGGAUAAUAUUUUGAACCGCAUGGUUCAAAAGUGAAAGACGGUCUUGCUGUCACUUAUAGAUGGAUCCGCGCUGCAUUAGCUAGUUGGUAAGGUAACGGCUUACCAAGGCAACGAUGCAUAGCCGACCUGAGAGGGUGAUCGGCCACACUGGAACUGAGACACGGUCCAGACUCCUACGGGAGGCAGCAGUAGGGAAUCUUCCGCAAUGGGCGAAAGCCUGACGGAGCAACGCCGCGUGAGUGAUGAAGGUCUUCGGAUCGUAAAACUCUGUUAUUAGGGAAGAACAUAUGUGUAAGUAACUGUGCACAUCUUGACGGUACCUAAUCAGAAAGCCACGGCUAACUACGUG
rnacentral:rRNA from 1 species